GAUGAACGCUGGCGGCGUGCCUAACACAUGCCAGUCGAGCGAACAGACGAGGCGUUUGCUCCUCUCACGUUAGCGGCGGACGGGUGAGUAACACGUGUAUAACCUACCUAUAAGACUGGGAUCACCUCGGGAAACCGGAGCUAAUACCGGAUAAUAUAUUGAACCGCAGGGUUCAAUAGUGAAAGACGGUUUUGCUGUCACUAAUAGAUGGAUCUGCGCCGCAUUAGCUAGUUGGAAGGGUAACGGCUUACCAAGGCAACGAUGCGUAGCCGACCUGAGAGGGUGGUCGGCCACACGGGAGCUGAGACACGGUCCAGAGUCCUACGGGAGGCAGCAGUAGGGAAUGUUAGGCAGUGGGCGAAAGCCUGACGCAGCGACGCCGCGUGUGUGAUGAAGGUCUUCGGAUCGUAAAGCUCUGUUAUGGGGGAAGAACAGAUGUGUAAGUAGCUGUGCAGGUCUUGACGGUACCGAGUCAGGAAGCAACGGCUAACUACGUG
rnacentral:rRNA from 1 species